GACGUAGGGUGCGAGCGUUGUCCGGAUUUAUUGGGCGUAAAGAGCUCGUAGGCGGCUCGUCGCGUCGUCCGUGAAAACCCGCGGCUUAACCGCGGGCUUGCGGUUGAUACGGGCGGGCUAGAGUUCGGUAGGGGAGACUGGAAUUCCUGGUGUAGCGGUGAAAUGCGCAGAUAUCAGGAGGAACACCGGUGGCGAAGGCGGAUCUCUGGGCCGAUACUGACGCUGAGGUGCGAAAGCGUGGGGAGCAAACAGG
rnacentral:rRNA from 1 species